rnacentral:rRNA from 1 species
UACGGAAGGCAGCAGUGGGGAAUAUUGCACAAUGGGCGCAAGCCUGAUGCAGCCAUGCCGCGUGUAUGAAGAAGGCCUUCGGGUUGUAAAGUACUUUCAGUCGUGAGGAAGGUGUUAAGGUUAAUAACCUUAGCAAUUGACGUUAGCGACAGAAGAGGCACCGGCUAACUCCGUGCCAGCAGCCGCGGUAAUACGGAGGGUGCGAGCGUUAAUCGGAAUUACUGGGCGUAAAGGGCACGCAGGCGGUUAAUUAAGUUGGAUGUGAAAUCCCCGGGCUUAACCUGGAAAUGGCAUUCAAGACUGGUUAGCUAGAGUCUUGUAGAGGGGGUAGAAUUCCAUGUGUAGCGGUGAAAUGCGUAGAGAUGUGGAGGAAUACCGGUGGCGAAGGCGGCCCCUGGGACAAAGACUGACGCUCAUGUGCGAAAGCGUGGGGAGCAAACAGGGAUUAGAUACC